rnacentral:rRNA from 1 species
AUACGGAGGGUGCAAGCGUUAAUCGGAAUUACUGGGCGUAAAGCGUGCGUAGGCGGUUUAUUAAGUCAGAUGUGAAAGCCCCGGGCUUAACCUGGGAACUGCAUUUGAUACUGGUAGACUAGAGUAUGGUAGAGGGGGGUAGAAUUCCUAGUGUAGCGGUGAAAUGCGUAGAUAUUAGGAGGAAUACCAGUGGCGAAGGCGGCCCCCUGGGCCAAUACUGACGCUGAGGUACGAAAGCGUGGGUAGCAAACAGGAUUAGAAACCCUAGUAGUCC